AAAAAAAAUGGUUUCGUUCGGAAUUCGGAUGAAGAAUGAUUCAUUUUAGAAAUUAUUGCGCAAAAUUGCAGAAUCGUAAGCAGAACACGCAGUGGCGGUGUGAAGAUUUUAUUCCGACGCGGGAAUUGAACGGGCGACCUUCACUUGAGAAAGCGGUCAUUGCGUGCAUGCGUAUCAGAGUGGACAUUUUCGUUGUAUUAAUUAAAUGAGGAAGAUGCUUA